rnacentral:rRNA from 1 species
UACAGAGGUCUCAAGCGUUGUUCGGAUUCAUUGGGCGUAAAGGGUGCGUAGGCGGCGCGGUAAGUCGGGUGUGAAAUCUCGGGGCUUAACUCCGAAACUGCAUUCGAUACUGCCGUGCUUGAGGACUGGAGAGGAGACUGGAAUUUACGGUGUAGCGGUGAAAUGCGUAGAUAUCGGAAGGAACACCAGUGGCGAAGGCGGCUUCCUGGACUAAUACUGACACUGAGGCGCGAGAGCGUGGGGAGCGAACAGG